GAUUCUAGAGCUAAUACAUGCUAAAAGACCCGACUUUGGAAGGGUUGUAUUUAUUAGAUUAAAAACCAAUGCCCUCUGGGCUCACUGGUGAAUCAUGAUAACUUUACGAAUCGCAUAGCCUUGUGCUGGCGAUGGCUCAUUCAAAUUUCUUCCCUAUCAACUUUCGAUGUUUGGGUAGUGGCCAAACAUGGUUGCAACGGGUAACGGAGGGUUAGGGCUCGACCCCGGAGAAGGAGCCUGAGAAACGGCUACUACAUCCAAGGAAGGCAGCAGGCGCGCAAAUUACCCAAUCCCGAUUCGGGGAGGUAGUGACAAUAAAUACUGAUACAGGGCUCUUUUGGGUCUUGUAAUUGGAAUGAGUACAAUUUAAAUCCCUUAACGAGGAACAAUUAGAGGGCAAGUCUGGUGCCAGCAGCCGCGGUAAUUCCAGCUCUAAUAGCGUAUAUUAAAGUUGUUGUGGUUAAAAAGCUCGUAGUUGAACCUUGGGCCUGGCUGGCGGGUCCGCCUCACCGCGUGUACUUCGCCGGCCGGGCCUUUCCCUCUGUGGAACCCUAUGCCCUUCACUGGGUGUGGUGGGGAAACAGGACUUUUACUUUGAAAAAAUUAGAGUGCUCCAGGCAGGCCUAUGCUCGAAUAUAUUAGCAUGGAAUAAUAAAAUAGGACGUGUGGUUCUAUUUUGUUGGUUUCUAGGACCGCCGUAAUGAUUAAUAGGGACAGCCGGGGGCAUCAGUAUUCAAUUGUCAGAGGUGAAAUUCUUGGAUUUAUUGAAGACUAACUACUGCGAAAGCAUUUGCCAAGAAUGUUUUCAUUAAUCAGGAACGAAAGUUAGGGGAUCGAAGACGAUCAGA
rnacentral:rRNA from 1 species